UUAGGCAGUUGAAUGGGUUUCCUGAGGAGGCGGUGGAGUCACUGUCCGUGGGGGUGUUUAAGGAAAGGUUGGAUGUGGUACUUAGGGACAUGGUUUACUGGGUAAUAUUGGUGGUAGGGGGACAAUUGGACUAGAUGACCUUGGAGGUCUUUUCCAAUGUUAAUGAUUCUAG